CGAAUGUGUGAAUGUUGAACGGGUGAAAUCUACAAAGAAAUAAACCACACGGAUAGCCAACUGGGCCGUUGAUCUGCUACAACCAUCCGACGAUGUAAAAUGAAAGCACACGGAUCACCCCAUUGUUGUUCGUCUACAUCUAUGCGUAUAACCCCUCCUUAAACAAAUCUCCUUUUCCAGUACUCUCGAAACAAAACCUAACGGCCGACACCAACACCCCUUACGUUAUCCACCCAUAAUAUUUGCUCUUUUCAUUUCUCCAUCGUCUCUCCCCAUUCAAAAUCUGCAACAUCAGCCGACAUCAAUACCAGUCGGCUCCUCUUCAAACUACCAUUAAGAACCACCAUGAUCUCUUCCACUCCCUUUAUCACAUCGGAGAGCUUCUCUCUCUUCUUCGUUAUUGAUCUUGUCAAAACCCUAGAUCUAAAAACAAAUCCAUCUUAAGAUUUGUUGGUUCGAUUUUAGUUUCUACCAAUUCUGUUAGGUUUAGAUUUCUAUUUAAUUUAACAUUUUAUUUUUUUAUACUAAUUUGUGUUCUUACAUGUAUGAUUCCUAAAAGUUGUAUUUAAGUUCUUGCAGAUUCAUUUUUUACUUAUUUGUCUUCAUUUGUGUUCUUACAUGUACCACAGUCGCUGCCUUGCUCCAACACAGUUACAGUUGCUCAUAUCUAUGCACCAACACACAUGAAUUAAGUUUCCUAUAUCGUGACACAAAAGCAAGGUUAUUAGAUCCAGUUAUUGUUUGUCUUACCUGGUUAGAAGUUCCUUAUUUUAUUGAGUUUUUAUGUAUGUUUUUUGUUUGUUCUCUUAUGGAUUUCUACUCUAACCUAACCCUCUUGCCCAUGUCUCUGUAUUCUACUGAAGAGUGCAAGGAAUAUAUGGAAGAAAGUAGACACAGAUUAGGCAAUGACUUUUAAACAUUGAAUUCUUUACAAAUAUGUUUGUUUCUUCUUCGAUUAUGCUAUUUUUCAAGCAUUUAAACCAUGUUUGCAUUAUUUAUGUCUCCAUCUUUGUACAUGGGUUUAAUACAUGUAUCUAAUAGGGCUCAUGUUUUUGUUUUCAGAUUUAGCUGACUUCAUCACCCUCUGUUCCUAGAUAUGUUCUUGGACUUGAUUUUUUUUUUUUUUUUUUGUAUAUUUUGUUUUCAUGUAUUAAUAAAAAGCUAUCUAUACAUGAAUAAAAAAUGAAAUCUUCAAUGUUUGGCCAUUUUUUGUUUUGGUGUAUGGGGUUUAUGGAUUUUUCGUUUUUUUACAUCUUGGUAUAAAAGUAAUCUAUGUAUAAGAAUUGAAAAAAAUUGAUCAUGAAGUUUUUAGCUUCUUGUGGAGAGAUCAUCUAUACUUUUCCAAUGAAAGUAUAUUGCAUCUCCUUGAGCAUGAGUGAGUGUUUUAAUUAAAAUGUUUAUGAAGUGUUUUGGAUUGUCUUAGUUUAGUCAGGAAACAGUAGACAAA
rnacentral:lncRNA from 1 species